UACAAGCAGUGGGAGCCUCUUUAUGGGGUGACUGCGUACCUUUUGUAUAAUGGGUCAGCGACUUAUAUUCUGUAGCAAGGUUAACCGAAUAGGGGAGCCGAAGGGAAACCGAGUCUUAACUGGGCGUUAAGUUGCAGGGUAUAGACCCGAAACCCGGUGAUCUAGCCAUGGGCAGGUUGAAGGUUGGGUAACACUAACUGGAGGACCGAACCGACUAAUGUUGAAAAAUUAGCGGAUGACUUGUGGCUGGGGGUGAAAGGCCAAUCAAACCGGGAGAUAGCUGGUUCUCCCCGAAAGCUAUUUAGGUAGCGCCUCGUGAAUUCAUCUCCGGGGGUAGAGCACUGUUUCGGCAAGGGGGUCAUCCCGACUUACCAACCCGAUGCAAACUGCGAAUACCGGAGAAUGUUAUCACGGGAGACACACGGCGGGUGCUAACGUCCGUCGUGAAGAGGGAAACAACCC
rnacentral:rRNA from 1 species